UCCAUAUCAGGUGCAAGGAAGGAGGCCCUGAGGGAAUCUAGCCUUCCUAGAGGUGAAAGCAAAGAGAAAAAAGAGAAACAGACCAUCUUCCUGAGAACGUAGAUUGUGGGAAGGAGAAUAUAGAGCCCUGGAUUAAGCAAGCAACUGAAUAUUCCUUCACUGGUG